UCAUACAGUUACUACUUUAAGUUUUGCCCCCAAAAGGAGUCACCAUAGAUCUCUGAUUGUACAAAUUAGGGGCAUGGAGUAGACAGUUAAUUAAUGACAAAUGUAACUGCUACUGGACAGAGAGCAUAGGUCCUGCUGGCAGCGACUAACCACUUCUGUUAGAAGCCCUACUCAACAAUCAGGAUUUUGAUCUACCAGAUUGCCUGUGGUCACCCCUGCACUGUUUCCAUGCUCUUCAAGGCCAGUGCAUUGCCAACAGACACAGCUGCUUUAAAAUGUCUGGAACGGUAACUGGGAUGUUGGGAAAAGUCAAACUGUAACUCCACCACUUCUGACUAUUAUUACUAAAAAUCUAAAUGGAAAAUCUUAAGGAACCAUUAAACA